rnacentral:lncRNA from 1 species
CGCACUCAGACGCGAAGCACUGAAUCUGGCGGGAGGCAAGGUCGGUGUCGGCCUUGAUCUGCUCGAUGAGGUCCUGGAUCUGGGCGCAGGUCUGGUUGUUGGAGACCUGGAGAAGCUUGCGGUUGGGCGCGGCGGCGGCGGCGGCGGCCUCGAAGUCGAACUCCUCGGCGUUGCACACCAUCUCCGAAACCUUCUGGAUGUUGUCCAUGUUCUGGUGGUGCUGGACGAAAGCCAUGCCGUUGUAAUCGCGGAUGGCGGCGCCAACCUUGCACGCGUGGGACGCGUUGUUGUAGGCGUACACCCAGCUAUCGUAGGCGAGACGGUAGGACUCGUGGGCAUCCUUGGUCACGUCGUAGAUGGUGGACUUGCAGGGGGAGUUGUCCACGUCGAGCUUGUUGUAGGAGUUGGUGGCGUCGAUGACCUUCUGGGCCGCGAGAUCGCAAGCGGUCGCGGAGUUGUCGAGGAGGUCGCAGAUGCCGUCAACGGUGGGCGCGCACACGCCGAAGGAGGCGGAGGUGGAGUUGCACUUGGGGGGAAUCGCGAGGUGGCAGUCGGUGUCGCAAGCGCCGCCGUCGCAGAACUCGGACUGGGAGAACUUGUUCAUGGGGGGGGUCGCGCAGGUGAGGAUGGCGAAGUGCUCAGUGUUCACCUCGUAGGUGACGG